UCGGGCGGCGCGUCCCCCACCCCGUAAUUAGCAUCGUUUAGUUCACAAACCCUUCCUGGGAGAAAUCUGCUCCCUCGUUCCGGGCCUCGGUUCAGCACCUGAUUCCGCCGGGUGAGGCGAAUAAAUCACUGCGGCGGCGGCGGCGGCGGGGGAGCCGGACCUGAGCCCGCCAGACUGGGGCCGCCGGGAGAACGAAAAAGCCAUGGGAUGCCAUUGAAGGAUUUUAAGCAGGGAAGGAAAAAGAUCUGAUUUGGAGCGGAAACACCACUCUGCAGGUGUGGGCAGUGGGCUGCAGGUAGAGAGAGAGCAGCAGAGACUGAGAAAACGGUGUUCUCAACAAGAGAAGAUGGAAGGUUGAAAAAAAGUCUGAGGGAGAUAAAGAAGAUAUGUGAGAGAUGGAGGCAAGAUGGGCCUCUGAAUCUGGAAACUGAGACUGGCUCCUGUGACAGGCCAGACAGUCUGUGUGGCUUCAGGGCCACCAGCCCUCACUCAGCCCUUCAGGAAGCUGGGAGCCCCACCCUAAGCCCCUUGCAUUGGAAGACUGCGAUUUUUCCCAGCCAGGCCUUGUGCCUCUGUAGGGGCUCUCAGGCUUUUCCAGCUUCCAGGCCUGCAGCUUCACUCCAGCUGGACUCAGCCUUUGAUCAGACCUGGGUGGAUCAUGAUUCCCCCCCCCCUUUUUUUAAUA